rnacentral:rRNA from 1 species
GACGAACGCUGGCGGCGUGCUUAACACAUGCAAGUCGAACGGAAAGGCCCUGCAUUUGUGGGGUGCUCGAGUGGCGAACGGGUGAGUAUCACGUGAGUAACCUGCCCUUGACUUUGGGAUAACUUCAGGAAACUGGGGCUAAUAUCGGAUAUGAGCUCCUGCAGCAUGGUGGGGGUUGGAAAGUUUCGGCGGUUGGGGAUGGACGCGCGGCUUAUCAGCUUGUUGGUGGGGUAGUGGCUUACCAAGGCUUUGACGGGUAGCCGGCCUGAGAGGGUGACCGGCCACAUUGGGACUGAGAUACGGCCCAGACUCCUACGGGAGGCAGCAGUGGGGAAUAUUGCACAAUGGGCGGAAGGCUGAUGCAGCAACGCCGCGUGCGGGAUGACGGCCGUCGGGUUGUAAACCGCUUUCGCCUGUGACGAAGCGUGAGUGACGGUAAUGGGUAAAGAAGCACCGGCUAACUACGUG